rnacentral:rRNA from 1 species
UACGUAGGUGGCAAGCGUUGUCCGGAUUUACUGGGCGUAAAGGGCGCGUAGGCGCCUUCUAAGUCGAACGUGAAAUCCCCGGGCUCAACCCGGGAACUGCGUCCGAUACUGGAAGGCUUGAAUCCGGGAGAGGGAUGUGGAAUUCCAGGUGUAGCGGUGAAAUGCGUAGAUAUCUGGAGGAACACCGGUGGCGAAGGCGGCAUCCUGGACCGGUAUUGACGCUGAGGCGCGAAAGCGUGGGGAGCGAACAGG